AAUGCUGAUUAAAUAAUUGUAGGAAAUAUUGCAGUAAGUUAAUUAUCUUUUAUAUAAUAAUUAUAUUGAAUGAUUUUAUCGUAAUAUACUUUCUGGAUAGUAUAGGUAAAGUGUAAAGGUAAAGACGUAAAAUGACAUUGUAGCACACAAUGAAAUUGAUAUCGAUUGAAUUCACAAAAAAUAAGAACUAUAAUAAAGUUCGAAGCAGCAAUACCUCCUAUGUAUCAUUAUAUAAGUUUUUCGAGAAAGAUAGGUCGCGGAGGGUAGCUGGAAAUUAAUGCAUGUGUAAUGCUUUCUUGAAAAUUGAUCGUCUCGUAGUUUUGAGAAGUUCUUUCGCAUGCGCUAUAUGUGCAUGUGCCAAGUAGGAGGUGACUUCGCUUUGUGAAAAUAAGAAACUCGUCAGUCUUUAGAUGACACUCGUCAUGGAUACUUCGGAAAGGUCGGGAUAUCGAGAUUUCGAAUGGGCGGUGAAGCUAAAUCGUUUUAGUUUAAAACUAAUCGGACUGUGGCCUAUGACUGAGUACCAUAUUCCAGAAAAUAUAAUAUAUAAAUGUCGGCCUUUGAUUAUUAUUUUAAUAAUAACAUUCGGCAUUCUGAUACCUUCGAUACAUUCCUUGAUAAGAAUCCGUUCUAAUAUCAUGCUAUUGAUAGAUAACUUGCAAUAUACUCUGCCGAUUAUCACCUGUAUCAUUAGAGUCGUAGUUUUCUGGUGGAAGAAAAAAGCUGUUACAUCGGUGUUAAAUAUGGUAGCAGAGGACUGGCUAAAGGUAAAAAGCACACAGGAGCGCAGUACGAUGAUCGGAAAGGCACAAACUGCGCGUAUAAUUAUCACAUGCGCAUAUGGCGCAAUGAUGAUAGCGUUUAUUUUCACCGCCGUCUUACCCAUCUUCGGAAUUUCGACAAGAUAUCUGACGAAUACCAGCGACCCGUUGCUACCAUUGCAGACGUAUCAUUUCUAUGACGUGACAAAGAGUCCGCAAUACGAAUUCACGUUCAUUCUACAAAUUAUCAGUAUGGUUUUUGGUAUUAUGUCUUAUACUGGCAUCGAUAAUUUGCUUGGACUACUAGUGUUUCAUAUCAGCGGCCAAUUCGACAUUCUCAGACAUCGUAUUAUGCACAUAAAUGAUUAUAUUGAUUUCCACGAUAUUUUAAGGAGCAGUGUGAUAGAUCAUAUACGCCUACUGAGAGCCAUUGCCAUUAUAGAAGACAUAUUUAAUAUAAUACUUCUUGCAUUAUUUAUAUACUUUGGUAUACUUUUUGCCUGUUAUGGAUUUCUGAUAAUUAACUUAAUAGAAAAAGGAAAUGAUAUAUCAGUUACCCGGUUCAUAUAUCAAGUAUGCGCCCUUAUCACCAUGUUUGGUCAUAUGUGUGUCUAUUGUGUAGUGGGAGAGAUUUUAAUAGCACAAGUACGUUGAAUCCUUUUCUAUUUCAUGUUUAAUAGAGAAGAUCUUUUUAAUACAAUAAUACAUGAUCUUUUGCGAACAAAUUCACUAUACAGUGUACAAGUACAAAUGGUACACUCUAGAACCAAGAGACAUAAAAG
rnacentral:misc_RNA from 1 species